rnacentral:rRNA from 2 species
AUCAGUUUGAUCCUGGCUAGUUGUCGUAACAAGGUAACCACGUGAUUUUUGUCCCCCCCUUUUUAAUUUCACCCCGGGAACCCCAUGAGAUUGGGGUAACUUCGGGAAACCGGAGCUAAUACCGGAUACGUUCUUUUCUCGCAUGAGAGAAGAUGGAAAGACGGUUUACGCUGUCACUUAUAGAUGGGCCCGCGGCGCAUUAGCUAGUUGGUGAGGUAAUGGCUCACCAAGGCGACGAUGCGUAGCCGACCUGAGAGGGUGAUCGGCCACACUGGGACUGAGACACGGCCCAGACUCCUACGGGAGGCAGCAGUAGGGAAUCUUCCGCAAUGGACGAAAGUCUGACGGAGCAACGCCGCGUGAACGAAGAAGGCCUUCGGGUCGUAAAGUUCUGUUGUUAGGGAAGAACAAGUACCAGAGUAACUGCUGGUACCUUGACGGUACCUAACCAGAAAGCCACGGCUAACUACGUGCCAGCAGCCGCGGUAAUACGUAGGUGGCAAGCGUUGUCCGGAAUUAUUGGGCGUAAAGCGCGCGCAGGUGGUUCCUUAAGUCUGAUGUGAAAGCCCACGGCUCAACCGUGGAGGGUCAUUGGAAACUGGGGAACUUGAGUGCAGAAGAGGAAAGUGGAAUUCCAAGUGUAGCGGUGAAAUGCGUAGAGAUUUGGAGGAACACCAGUGGCGAAGGCGACUUUCUGGUCUGUAACUGACACUGAGGCGCGAAAGCGUGGGGAGCAAACAGGAUUAGAUACCCUGGUAGUCCACGCCGUAAACGAUGAGUGCUAAGUGUUAGAGGGUUUCCGCCCUUUAGUGCUGCAGCUAACGCAUUAAGCACUCCGCCUGGGGAGUACGGCCGCAAGGCUGAAACUCAAAGGAAUGACGGGGGCCCGCACAAGCUGUGGAGCAUGUGGUUUAAUUCGAAGCACGCGAAAACUUUACAAGGUCUUGACAUCCUCUGAACAACCUAGAGAUAGGGCUUUCCCUUCGGGGACAGAGUGCCAGUUGCUGCAAUGGUGGUCGUCACUCGUGGUCGGAGAAAUGUUGGGGGUAAGUCCCGCAAACAAGCGCAACCCUUGUAUCCUAGAUGGCCAGCAAUUCAGUUGGGCACUCUAAGGGUGAUUGCCUGGUGAAACCGGAAAAGGGGGGAUGACGUCCAAUCUCUACAUGGCCCUUAUGACCUGGUCUUACACCGUUGCCCACAUGAAGGUACAACGGCCUUGCAAACCUGCAAGGGUAAAGCGAAACUUCAAUAAAGAACCACUACUCUCA